UCCAGGCAGAAACCUGGAGAGCCGUCUUCUCUGUAUUCCCAAAGACAACAAGUUGCUGCCUAUCUAUUGAGAACAUUCAAUGUGUACAGAUAUUGCUUCCUACUUGGGAGAGCUUCUUCAUCCAGUGGGAUUAAAAUGGAAAAUUCAGCUGGCAUGUUCUCUUCCAACUUUUCUUUCAACUUUGACCUUUGAUGGAGCUUCUGGCCAACCUGGAGUGGGUCUUCUUUUUCUCUUUAAUUCCUUUAAAAUAAAAGACUGUUUUCAUUGACUGAAGAAUGAUAUUAUCCUAUUAAAAUGUAAUAUAUUACAAAUAUUA